rnacentral:rRNA from 1 species
UCCGUAGGCGGUGUGGCAAGUCGGAAGUGAAAUCUCUGGGCUUAACCCAGAGGCUGCUCCCGAAACUGCCGUGCUAGAGUGUGAGAGAGGCGAGUGGAAUUGCGGGUGUAGCGGUGAAAUGCGUAGAUAUCCGCAGGAACAUCCGAGGCGAAAGCGGCUCGCUGGAUCACAACUGACGCUGAGGGACGAAAGCUAGGGGAGCAAACAGGAUUAGAUACCCUGGUAGUCCUAGCCCUAAACCAUCAGGACUUGGGGUUUGCCCUGUACGGGGCAAGUCCCGUAGCUAACGCGUUAAGUCCUGCGCCUGGGGAGUACGGUCGCAAGGCUGAA